UUAGGACUACUUUUCUUUUUGUCAGAAAGCUAAUUCACAUGUGUUCAUAUUCUUGGACAAUUCUGAAAUAUAAUAGAUCUGUUGUGCCCAUUAUACAGAGUAUUUAUAAAGUGCAGUUUAAUUGGAGAUUCUUCAUGUAGAUAUGGCCUACUUUUCCAGUGCAUUUCCUUGCAACAAACCUGUCUGAUGUUGGAUGAAAAUAAUCAUCUUAUUCAGUGUAUAAUGGACUAUCAGAACAAAGGAAAGACGUCUGAAUGCUCUCAAUACCAGCAGAUGCUGCAUACAAACUUGGUUUACCUAGCCACUAUAGCUGACUCCAACCAGAACAUGCAGUCUCUACUACCAGCACCACCCACACAGAAUAUGCCGAUGGGUCCGGGAGGGAUGAGUCAGAGCGGCCCUCCCCCACCUCCACGCUCGCACAGCAUGUCUUCAGAUGGAAUGGUAGGUGGGGGCCCUCCUGCACCACACAUGCAGAACCAGAUGAACGGCCAGAUGCCUGGACCUAACCAUAUGCCUAUGCAAGGACCUGGACCUAACCAGCUUAAUAUGACGAACAGUUCCAUGAACAUGCCUUCAAGUAGCCAUGGGUCAAUGGGCGGCUAUAAUCACUCAGUGCCAUCCUCACAGAGUAUGCCAGUGCAGAAUCAGAUGACUAUGAGCCAGGGACAGCCGAUGGGCAACUAUGGUCCCAGACCAAACAUGAAUAUGCAACCAAACCAAGGUCCAAUGAUGCACCAGCAGCCUCCCUCCCAGCAAUACAACAUGCCACAGGCGGGUGGCCAGCAUUACCAGGGGCAGCAGCCACCUAUGGGAAUGAUGGGCCAAGUUAACCAAGGAAAUCACAUGAUGGGUCAGAGACAGAUUCCUCCAUAUAGGCCACCACAGCAAGGCCCACCACAGCAGUACUCAGGCCAGGAAGACUAUUAUGGGGACCAAUACAGUCAUGGUGGACAAGGUCCUCCAGAAGGCAUGAACCAGCAAUAUUACCCUGAUGGUCAUAAUGAUUACGGUUAUCAGCAACCGUCGUAUCCUGAACAAGGCUACGAUAGGCCUUAUGAGGAUUCCUCACAACAUUACUACGAAGGAGGAAACUCGCAAUAUGGUCAGCAGCAAGAUGCGUAUCAAGGACCACCCCAACAGCAGGGCUAUCCACCACAACAGCAGCAAUAUCCAGGCCAACAAGGCUAUCCAGGACAACAGCAGGGUUAUGGCCCUUCCCAAAGUGGUCCAGGACCUCAGUAUCCCAAUUAUCCACAAGGACAAGGCCAGCAGUAUGGGGGAUACAGACCCACACAGCCUGGGCCACCACAGCCACCACAGCAGAGGCCUUAUGGAUAUGACCAGUUGCAGAACCACCUCAGAUGUGCAACUGAAGUCCGUCUACUGUAGCGCUGUGUGGGGAGGCCUGAAGCCUAUUUUUGCACAGAUUUUUCUCUCAGCAGUAUGAAGGAACACUGAACAUGGGAAAGAAGUGACCUGAAAAGUCAACUGUUUCUUUCCUAUCACUACUGAGAUAAGUUUAAAACAAACAAACAACCACCAAAACUCUAGGCUGCAGUUGUAGUGGAGGAAUCCUGUAAAGAAAAAAACCCCAAAACUGCCUUCUAAUUAAAGGAUAAAGCAGAGGUUUUAUUCCUGUAGAAGGUACUAAACUGUAAAAAUCUGAUCUAUACAGCAUGAAUCAUUCAGAAAUGUCAUUAAAAUGUACAUUAUUACUUUCCUUGGCAUAAAUAAAAUUGAGAGUAACUAAAUAUACCUUAUGGUCAAGUUGAGGUUCUAGUCUUGAAAUAAAAUCCUGCUAUGUCAGUCAAAGAUCAGUUGAACUUUCAAGAAGAGCUUUCCCUUGGAAGUGAGAAUAGCCACAAUUGCCCACAUUUUUAAAGGAGAACAGUUGGCUUCCUUUCUACAGAAGUUAGAAAAGACAAGGAAGAAGGAACAAAGUCUUUCAGUGUGGUAGUUUAGAGAUGCAGUUAAUUCUAAUUAUUUAACAGAUAAGCAAAAUGCUCAUGCACUGAACUAAUAGCUUCUUCCUGCAAAUAACAAGCUACAGGAAAAUGCUUUGCUUGUGGCAAAUGUAGGGUCAAGGAAACUUAAUCUGUUUGCUGAGUUUCUUCCAGCUUUCUUUGCAGCAGAAGUGGAUAACCCUCUCUGUAGAUAGGCUCUACUCCUCCAGUUUGUGCAAUCUAAGUUCCACUGGGAAACUCAGUUACAGAAGACCUCUCGACUCUUUCAUACUAGCCAUUCCCAUAGGAAUUACGCUGCUUCAAUUCUCAUCUGGCAGCUGUUCUGAAACUCUUCUCCCUGACUGAUUGUCAUAUUACAAUAGGAAAAAACCUGACAUUGCAACGUAAAACUGAAAUUUAAAAUACUGCCCUAUCGUGAUGGUACUUAACAUGGAAUGGUGGUGGGACCACAGUUUGGACAGUGUUAACUUCAUAGCACACUGCUUGUUUCUGCAAGCUUUGAACCCUGUGGUGAAGGAUCAUGGGUCAGUAUGGAAAUUAUCAACAGUGAAAAAGUGCUCACAUUCCGGUAGGCAAUAUCUAUUAGCAGCCAUGUUGUCUCCUCAGCACUGUGGACAUCUUCCUGAGAUGAGAACCUACCAUUCCGUCUAGCUUUUGGAAAAAUCUUGUGGCUGUUUUAUGGUAUACAGUCUUUAUGGGUUAAUUGCUAAAGACUGUAGAUUCUCAGAAACUGAUUUCACAUCUCUACUCUAGAUGGCAAUAUUGGACAGAAAAUAUGUGACAUAACAGUUUGCAGUGAGUUGAGAACUAUAUGUCAAAUAGACUGUUACAGACUGAAAGGUGCGAACAGCUUCGUAUGUUUAUGAAGGUUAUGGGAAUUUAAUAUUUUUUCCACAGAUUUUUUUUGUAGGGGGAAAGGGGAAAUGCACACUUUUUACAGCAGCAAUAUUUUGUAUAUUAUGUUUUUCAUGUGGUGAAUAUGCAAGACAGUACACUACUCGCUGGGCAGGAUAAGAAAUCUACUGUUAAAAAUGGGUUGGGGCAUGAUAAGUGCUUGAUUGUAUAAGUCUCGACAUGGUGUACAAUAAAGAUAACGGUGGAAAAAAAAGAUGGAGAGCAUCAUACAUCACUGAUAGGUUCAUGUACAAAGAAUAAGAAUAAUCCCAGUUAUCUAAAUGGGAACAUAAUUAAGGACAGUAUAAUAUAGUCUUGUGCAAAGAUUAAUUUUUUAAGCUUUCCAAUUUUUCUGAGUGAAGCAUUUUUUACAAAAUUGUUUCUAACAUAGUUUGACAAUUUUCUGCAACAUUUUUUGGGUAACAAGAUAAACGUUUGGGUUUUAUUUCUCAAGUGUUUUGUCACAGCUUUGCAUAAGCAAGCUGUAAUCCCUCUUAAUAAUUGCAAUAACAAAGAAAAUGACAAGUGUUAAUUUUACUUGGCUUGAAUAUGCAAGGAACUUGAAAAAGAAUAUGGAGGACAGGACUGUAUUGUAUAAGUGUAUUUUAACCUUUAGUUGAAUAAUUUGUAUGUAUCAAAAUAGCCUAGAAGACUUUGUAAAACCUAUCUAAACUUUCCUAACUGGGAGUUAAUAUCUUUAGAAAGGGGGCAUUUUUUGUGUGUGUCCAUUUUUCUUACUGGUUAACAUGAGACCAAGGGAUGUUUUAUAACAUCAAGUAUAAAACCUGUUGGUGAAGUAAAUGCCAAAUUUUGGUUUGAACUGCAUUAAUGCUUAUAGUGUUGCAUGUGAGAUAGAGGCAGCACCUUGAUCAAUAGCAUAGUACACAAAAAAUUGGUUUUGAGACUGUCCUGCAAAUUAUAUAUCAGAUAAAUAAAUGGAUAUUCUGUUGGGGCAGCAAUAUAUGCAGUCAAGAAUUCCCAGCAUCCUCUAUAAAGGACAAAACUUAAAAUCAGCCCAGGGGUAAAGUAAUUCUUUUUUUUUCAGUCGGUGAUCA